AUUGAACGCUGGCGGCAGGCUUAACACAUGCAAGUCGAGCGGAGUGAUGGUGCUUGCACUAUCACUUAGCGGCGGACGGGUGAGUAAUGCUUAGGAAUCUGCCUAUUAGUGGGGGACAACAUCUCGAAAGGGAUGCUAAUACCGCAUACGUCCUACGGGAGAAAGCAGGGGAUCACUUGUGACCUUGCGCUAAUAGAUGAGCCUAAGUCGGAUUAGCUAGUUGGUGGGGUAAAGGCCUACCAAGGCGACGAUCUGUAGCGGGGCUGAGAGGAUGAUCCGCCACACUGGGACUGAGACACGGCCCAGACUCCUACGGGAGGCAGCAGUGGGGAAUAUUGGACAAUGGGGGAAACCCUGAUCCAGCCAUGCCGCGUGUGUGAAGAAGGCCUUAUGGUUGUAAAGCACUUUAAGCGAGGAGGAGGCUCUUUUGGUUAAUACCCAAGAUGAGUGGACGUUACUCGCAGAAUAAGCACCGGCUAACUCUGUGCCAGCCGCCGCCGUAA
rnacentral:rRNA from 1 species